GCACUCUAUUCUUUUCCAGCUCACUUAUUUAUGCAUUUAUUUAUAUAGCUAUGAAUUUUUAUUUUAUUUAUUGAGAUGAUAAAAGAAAGAACCUUGAACACAUAGAUCAACAGGUUUUGCACGUCAUUCAAUACACACUCUCCCUUGGUUUUCUUAUCCAGGGUGUAAGACACACACAGAGACACACCCCGACACGCACACACAAAUAAUACACACAUAUUGUAUAGACAGUCCCACUCACGGAAGAAUGGGGUAGUCCCAGUGCACUAGCUAAAGCUGCUAACUAGCAGGUGCUAGCUCAUGAUGCUGAGAGCCCUGUUGGCCUGGUCCUUAUCAGGAUCCGGCUACUGUCUUUGAAAUCAAGUUUCUGCCAUUUUUACGCGUUCAGGAGAAAAAGUAGAAGGACAACACAUUUCUCCAUCACAGGUGAGCUCCUUUCACAGUUUUAACUGAAGUUGGCUAACUUUAACCAACUGAUAAAGAAAUGUGUCCCUGUAAUUUCUGAGCCACGCUGUUUAUUUACAUGCACUGCAGCUCGACAUUUUUGCUAUAUGGAAUAUUUAAUGCUAAUUUUCCCAGACGCAACACUUCCAUUAAUGUUUCUGUAGGAACGACUGUAUAGAUAUAUUUAUUUCAGGUCUACUUUAUACUGCGUAUGGUUAAAGUUAUUGUAAAUGGCAGAAGCAACUUUUUCAAGUUUGGUUCAGUAAUUUAUUUGAAUUACUUUGAGUGUGCAAUUUUCAUGUAUGUAAGUUAAAACAGUGAAGAACACUUUAGCUUUUGUUUCAAUACUUUGGUAAUACUUGGAAGUAUAAAGCUUGGCAUCAGAGCUAAUAUUUAAUAUUUUCCUUUGAAUCUUGACUGUCACCCUCAAAAUACUUACAUUAAAGUCACUGGGUCCAUGACAGUUAAAGGGUUUUAAGAUAAAAUAAUAUUUUACAGUUUUUCUCAGUUUGCAUUUCUCAGAACAGAAUUUAAAUUCUUAAAACUACUUGUUCAAUCUUCAAAUUAUUGUGUCACUUCUGCACAUCAAUAAAGGAGUUUCUCAUUCUUUUGAGCAAGUUGCAAACGCUUUUGUAGAUCAUGCAACUUAUUAUGUGCACUUCUCUGCUUUUGCUCCCAUUUUAAUUUGCUUUAAUCAUGUUGAUCAAAAUGUGUUAAACGUGUCUCUGUUGAAUUGUCUCAACUUCCAAAACAGCAAAGGUUCACUGUGUAAGUCUUAACAUGCAUAAGUCUUGAAGUUGUCAUAAUGUCAAUCAUAUUUUAAUUUAUUUAUAUUAGAUAUUUUUCUAAAUUUGUCUUGAAUUGGUAAAUUGCUCCCAAGUGAGUCCUGAGUUUCUCUAACAGGUCAAUGUAUGAACCAUUAGCUCAACCAACGAUCAACCGAUUUUCAGAAACAGAUUGAAGGUGCAUCUUAUGAGUCAUCAGUUGAUGGCGAUAUACACACCAAAUAAGGGCUGUUCACUUUUUAAAUUAUCAACCUUUUGUUUUUGAAUUUUUGGGGAUUUUUUUCUGUUUGACUUUCUGCAUUGAGUUUAUCUUGUGUCAUCUAUCCUGAAUUACUGGUCAAAAAGUAAAAAAUGUAAAGAGAAACAUAUUUCUCCCAAAAGGAAGGAUGAAGAUAGAAAAUUCCCUGAAACAACAGGUCUUCAUCUGAGGUUUUUUUGUUUGUGUUUUUUGUCUGGUUGCAGAGAGGAUUAAACCUGUCGACAACAAACAAAGGUUUAAGGACUUCUGAAUUUUCAGUCAGAAAUGAUCACACCGCCUGGUUGAAGUACCAGUCUCCAUGUGCAAGUCAACAAAGCAGAGAGGAAACACCUGAUUGACAAGGUAUGAGUCUCAAGCUCAACCUGUGACUGGGAAAACCAUAUCCAUGAUGCACACCAUCCUGAGCAAAGUCUGAACUCAAUGACUUGUUGCUCUCAACCUAGAGCGAGAAUCCUUUUAUCACCAUUUAUCCUUUUAUCACCGGUCACCCCUUAUAUGGACACAUGCUGUUUUUUUUUUCAGAUCUUAGUAAUACCAUGAGGAAACUGGACAGGAAACAGAAUUGUUUCUUUUUUUUAACAGAAUUUUUAAAUAGAAAUUGUUUCUUUAAGUGGAUUACUUGUAAUCUGUAUUUUUGUUUAAUUUGGACUUAUUUUCUUUAUAACUUUCCAUAUUGAAAUGCAGACAAAAUUACACUUCCUUGUGAGUUGUACUGUAAUUUUUAUGGUAAAAUUCUGGUAACAACAGCUACCGGUAAUUUAUCAUAAAGUUUUUAUUUUCAAAUUUUUUUACAAUAAAAUGUCAAUAUAUCAUACAGUCCUGCCGUGUUUUUCACUUACAUAGACUAAUCUUUACGGUAUGUGUGUUUUUAUAGUAAGUUGCAUAGAAAAGUUUAAGUUCUGAACUGCUAAGUCACGGUUGCCAAGAUAUUAUGCCUCAUGCAGUAUGACCGUAUUUACUAUGG